rnacentral:rRNA from 1 species
GACGAACGCUGGCGGCGUGCUUAACACAUGCAAGUCGAACGGAAAGGCCCUGCUUUUGUGGGGUGCUCGAGUGGCGAACGGGUGAGUAACACGUGAGUAACCUGCCCUUGACUUUGGGAUAACUUCAGGAAACUGGGGCUAAUACCGGAUAGGAGCUCCUGCUGCAUGGUGGGGGUUGGAAAGUUUCGGCGGUUGGGGAUGGACUCGCGGCUUAUCAGCUUGUUGGUGGGGUAGUGGCUUACCAAGGCUUUGACGGGUAGCCGGCCUGAGAGGGUGACCGGCCACAUUGGGACUGAGAUACGGCCCAGACCCCUACGGGGGGGAGAGGUGGGGAAUUUUGCAAAAGGGGCGGAAGCCGGAUGGAGCAACGCCGGGGGGGGGAUGACGGCCUUGGGGUGGUAAACCGCUUUCGCCUGGGCCGAAGCGUGGGUGACGGUAAUGGGUAAAGAAGCACCGGCUAACUACGU